rnacentral:rRNA from 1 species
UCGGAAGAGGAUGGGCAUGCGGCGCAUUAGCUUGACGGCGGGGUAACGGCCCACCGUGGCGACGAUGCGUAGGGGUUCUGAGAGGAAGGUCCCCCACACUGGUACUGAGACACGGACCAGACUCCUACGGGAGGCAGCAGUGAGGAAUAUUGGUCAAUGGGAGAGAUCCUGAACCAGCCAAGCCGCGUGAGGGAAGACGGCCUAUGGGUUGUAAACCUCUUUUGUCGGAGAACAAAACCCGGGACGUGUCCCGGACUGCGUGUAUCCGAAGAAAAAGCAUCGGCUAACUCCGUGCCAGCAGCCGCGGUAAUACGGAGGAUGCGAGCGUUAUCCGGAUUUAUUGGGUUUAAAGGGUGCGUAGGCGGUCCGUUAAGUCAGCGGUAAAAUUGCGGGGCUCAACCCCGUCGAGCCGUUGAAACUGGCAGACUUGAGUUGGCGAGAAGUACGCGGAAUGCGCGGUGUAGCGGUGAAAUGCAUAGAUAUCGCGCAGAACUCCGAUUGCGAAGGCAGCGUACCGGCGCCAGACUGACGCUGAGGCACGAAAGCGUGGGGAUCGAACAGGAUUAGAUACCCUGGUAGUCCACGCAGUAAACGAUGAAUGCUGGUUGUCCGGGUCGAAUGAGACCUGG